UCCCGAGCUGCCGCCUCCGCUGCCUGCCACGACGAUUCGGUGGCGCCCCCUGGUGGCCGUUACCAGUGUGGCGCUUCUGCUGCCUUUCAAUGCCACGCAGGCAUCACCUUCCCGGCUAGACUGUCGAGUCCCCUCCCCAUGAAGGAAGGCAAACGAUUUUCAACAUUUUGGAUUCCGCAAAAUACACCUCGGAAGAUGAAUAUGAAAAAGUCACCCUAGAGCCAAACCGCCACUUGAAAAUGUAGCAGCUAUUUAUGUAUUCACUCCGAAUCGGCUGAUGCAGCGGAUCUUAGGGGCCAGGCCGCCGCGAUACAAACGCGAACCGAGACAGACAAGGGCCCCACUGUUCCCCUGCACAGUGUAUUCUAGUGAAAGGAGACACAGAUAAUCAAAUUUGUUGAGCCUCACUUGGUGAUCUGUAUACAGUUGAUCUUGACACAGGUUCCACGUGCACUUGAAAAAACUGUGUAUUUUGUGCAGUUUGGGGUUUUAAGUUCUACAAAUGUCAAUUAUGGCAGUUUCUCCAUCCAUGGCAGGACUGCUCUUAUCCAGACCUC